rnacentral:rRNA from 1 species
CACGUAGGGCGCGAGCGUUGUCCGGAAUUAUUGGGCGUAAAGCGCGUGUAGGCGGCUUGGCAAGUCAGACGUGAAAUCCCUCAGCUUAACUGGGGAACUGCGUCUGAUACUGGAUGGCUUGAGUGUAGGAGAGGAAUGCGGAAUUCCAGGUGUAGCGGUGAAAUGCGUAGAUAUCUGGAGGAACACCGGUGGCGAAGGCGGCAUUCUGGACUACAACUGACACUGAGGAACGAAAGCCAGGGGAGCAAACGGG